ensembl:snRNA U6 U6 spliceosomal RNA
UUUGCAGGUUCUUUGUGUUAAAACAAUCCAAAUAAAUGACACAGAAAAGAUUAGCAUGGCCCCGUCACAAGGAUGAAACACAAAUUCGUGAAGCAUUCCAUAUUAAA